AAGAAGAAAAGAAGCAUUGAGAGGUUCCUCACGCAGGAGAGAUGGCGCCCAUGACUAUUCCGGUUUCUAGAGUCUGGAGAUAGGGAGGGUCAUUGGCUGCCAUCUCUCUGCGUCAGGAACCUUAUAUCUUUGCAGCCAUGUCCCUUUUAUGUUUACUUUUCCAAUUUCUACAAGAAAUUUAUACUAGUUGUUUUCGUUCACAGGGUUCAUGUUGUGCAGAUUUUGUGGACUAGGAAAUGGUCAAAAACGGCGGUCCCUAUGUUUUGUUCUUUGAUCCAUGUGGCUGCCUGUGCCAGAAGUUUACCAUUAUCAAGUUUACAUGUUCACACUUCGGUAAUGUUUCUUUUCACCUUAUGCUUUGGAUGCUUCCAUUUUAGCUACUGAACAAAUCACCGACACUUUUAGUGUAUGUAGUAAGAGAAGACAUCCGUUCUGCGGAUUCCUGAAACUUAAAAGGUACCUGCAUAAUCUAACCGGGACUCCAUUUUGGCUUUCUCAUGCAUAUCACUAUGCUGAGAACUAUUUUGUUCAGUAGAGUCAACGUCAAACCAAUGGCUGUAGCUCUUUCUUGUUUUCUUUCCGCAACUCGCAAGCCUACAGAUCAAUGCUCAUCCCUCGCGAGCCAACAUCUCUUAAAUUACCAAAAGAGAAAAGACAAGCUACAGUAUAUACUAGUACCGACACUCCUCCCCACUUUGAUGCGGGGCAGGUACAAGCGUGCCUGAAAUGUGUAAUUUUUUUUGGAACGAUAUGUAAAUUUCUUUUACCUCUUCAUAAUAGAAGAGGUGUGCAUGUGAGUUACAUAUGUAAUAAUUAUGCUUUUAUUGUUAAGUUUUAUAAGUAGUUCACGUAAAAUUAUACCUUAUUCAAAAAAUUAUUAUUCUGAAUGAUUGUUACUGACAAGCAUCCAAACCCGUAUGGCCGUAUCCCUCCCCACUUUGCCUGCACAGUAAAUUAUUUGAUUGUAGUAAUUCGUAUUACUUGAUCAGGUAUAUGCAUUUGCCAUUACUCUUAAGCUAUAUUUGCAAAACACUCAGCUGUAUUCACACACGUGUGGCCUUAUUAAUCACUUCUCUCUUAAAGUAAUUUUCUACCAUAUGAUCUCUUUCUUGGAUACAAGAAUGAUGUUGAGAAGAUGUACGUGUUCUCUCUUAAAAAUUGUAGUGCCUAUUUUUUGUUCUGUCUGCAACUUUGCAUGACUAGCUACUGAUUCCAUUAAAGUUGCGCUUAUGAUGCUGCUAAAUCUCAAUUUGUGAACGUAAUCCUUGAAACAAAGGUAUCGUUUUAUGUUUCUGGAAACUCAAAACCCAAGUUUAAACUGUUGACUGCUGGGUUCAAAUCCUCGCUCGGUCGCACGUUAAUUAUCGGUCCGAAAGACCAAUCCACCAACACCUUAGCAACACAACAAAUCUUUAGUGGUCCGCUUUCAAAAGCAAUAACUCAAUUAUUCUGCUGCAGUUACUACCGCCAUCACCACCGAAGAACCAUCUUCAUCAAAAACUAGAACCAUAAAAUUACUCAUUCAGGUUUAGUUAAUGGAUUGGGUUUGGGCAUCCAUUAUUGCUUCCAAGCCGUAGAGUCCGAAUUAAAGUAAACGUAUAAUGUUCAAUACUUACAAUUACAGAUUGAUUUGGAGUUUUGGUUCAGAAAAUUUUGAAAAUAUUUCUGGGCAUCCAUUUGCUAAAAUCUUUCUAAAUAGGAAUUGUUUGAGGAUGGUGACUUUUUUUUUUUGUCUGCAACGAUAGAUGUUAUAUAAGCCUAAUCUAGGGAAAAGGAAUAAGAGGAGAUGGUCAACUAAGAUCAGUCACAUAUUAUAAUAAAUUUGAGAGAGACGGGGUUGAACUCUGACCUCCGGCACCACCAAGGCGGCGGUGGUAACUGGCAAGUGAAAAAGGUGAUGAAAGAAGUUGACUUGGACUUGGGUAGAGAACAGACAACAGGAAUUCCAAAAAAAAAAAAAAAAA